GGAGAGGUGCGAGAGCGGUUGAAUCGGCUUGACUCGAAAUCAAGAGUAGGUGCAAGCCUACCGUGGGUUCGAAUCCCACCCUCUCCGCCA
rnacentral:tRNA from 2 species